rnacentral:rRNA from 1 species
UACGAAGGGGGCUAGCGUUGUUCGGAAUUACUGGGCGUAAAGCGCACGUAGGCGGACUGUUAAGUCAGGGGUGAAAUCCCGGGGCUCAACCCCGGAACUGCCUUUGAUACUGGCAUUCUCGAGUCCGGAAGAGGUGAGUGGAAUUCCGAGUGUAGAGGUGAAAUUCGUAGAUAUUCGCAAGAACACCAGUGGCGAAGGCGGCUCACUGGCCCGGUACUGACGCUGAGGUGCGAAAGCGUGGGGAGCAAACAGG